GCCAGCCUGGUGUAGAGGUUAGAGCACUGGACUAUGACUCUGGAGACCAGGGUUCGAAUCCCAGUUCAGCCA